rnacentral:rRNA from 1 species
AUAGCGUAUAUUAAAGUUGUUGCAGUUAAAAAGCUCGUAGUUGAACUUCAGGCCUGGCUGGGUGGUCCGCCUCACGGCGUGUACUGUUCGGCUGGGUCUUACCUCUUGGUGAGGCGGCAUGCCCUUUACUGGGUGUGUCGCGGAACCAGGACUUUUACCUUGAGAAAAUUAGAGUGUUCAAAGCAGGCCUAUGCCCGGAUACGUUAGCAUGGAAUAAUAAAAUAGGACGUGCGGUUCUAUUUUGUUGGUUUCUAGAGUCGCCGUAAUGAUUAAUAGGGACAGUUGGGGACAUUCGUAUUGCAUUGCUAGAGGUGAAAUUCUUGGAUUUAUGCAAGACGAACUUCUG